AACAGGAUUAGAUACCCUGGUAGUCCACGCCCUAAACGAUGUCGACUUGGAGGUUGUGCCCUUGAGGCGUGGCUUCCGGAGCUAACGCGUUAAGUCGACCGCCUGGGGAGUACGGCCGCAAGGUUAAAACUCAAAUGAAUUGACGGGGGCCCGCACAAGCGGUGGAGCAUGUGGUUUAACUCGAUGCAACGCGAAGAACCUUACCUGGCCUUGACAUCCACGGAAUUUGGCAGAGAUGCCUUAGUGCCUUCGGGAACCGUGAGACAGGUGCUGCAUGGCUGUCGUCAGCUCGUGUUGUGAAAUGUUGGGUUAAGUCCCGCAACGAGCGCAACCCUUAUCCUUUGUUGCCAGCACGUAAUGGUGGGAACUCAAAGGAGACUGCCGGUGAUAAACCGGAGGAAGGUGGGGAUGACGUCAAGUCAUCAUGGCCCUUACGGCCAGGGCUACACACGUGCUACAAUGGCGCAUACAAAGAGAAGCGACCUCGCGAGAGCAAGCGGACCUCAUAAAGUGCGUCGUAGUCCGGAUCGGAGUCUGCAACUCGACUCCGUGAAGUCGGAAACGCUAGUAAUCGUAGAUCAGAAUGCUACGGUGAAUACGUUCCCGGGCCUUGUACACACCGCCCGUCACACCAUGGGAGUGGGUUGCAAAAGAAGUAGGUAGCUUAACCUUCGGGAGGGCGCUUACCACUUUGUGAUUCAUGACUGGGGUGAAGUCGUAACAAGGUAACC
rnacentral:rRNA from 1 species